rnacentral:rRNA from 1 species
GUAGUCCACGCUGUAAACGAUGGAUACUAGGUGUGGGAGGUAUUGACCCCUUCCGUGCCGCAGUUAACACAAUAAGUAUCCCACCUGGGGAGUACGGCCGCAAGGUUGAAACUCAAAGGAAUUGACGGGGGCCCGCACAAGCAGUGGAGUAUGUGGUUUAAUUCGAAGCAACGCGAAGAACCUUACCAGCCUUGACAUCCCGAUGACCGGCCCAGAGACGAGCUUUCUCUUCGGAGCAUCGGUGACAGGUGGUGCAUGGUUGUCGUCAGCUCGUGUCGUGAGAUGUUGGGUUAAGUCCCGCAACGAGCGCAACCCUUACGGUUAGUUGAUACGCAAGAUCACUCUAGCCG